rnacentral:lncRNA from 1 species
UUUGCAUUGUUGGAUAACGAUGUAGAAAAGUUGCGUAUCUCAUAAAGAGACAGAAAACCUAACAAGAAGAUCAUUUAAAAUAAAAUCCUCCCUGAAUUUUACAAUAUCACUUGAAUAUCUCUGCAUAAACUGAUCUACAAAAUAAAGAAAUAAUAAUGACAGGGAUUGCAUAAUGUUUUCAGAGGAUAGCUUCUGGUAUGCUGAUGUUACUGGGCCUUUUGUUGUAGUUUCACCAAAAAAUGGGCAUUCAGUCUGUUAUUUGCCCUAAUGCAAACAAAGUGCUAAAUGGGUGGGAGAAGAGUUGCAUGAUAGUGCUACUGGAAUGAAAUGAGCUGACCCUGCUAAAAUACAACAGAUUUAUGUAGUGCCUACCAGGAUGAAUACCAUCUUGUUAGAGUGAAAAGCCUACUGUGAGGAUGCAGGUAUAUCUGAAUUCACACACAAUGGAGAAAAAUCUUAAACAUCGCCCUAAACAACACAUAGCAUUGUACAAAGUAACUCAAUCCUAAUAAUGACUUUAAAAUGACCCUAUUAAUUCCAUAACUGCAAAUACAUUCUGUAUGAUCUUAUUAUAAAGCUAUUCAAAGGCCAAGCAGGGAAGCUUUAAGUCUCAAAAUCUUAAUGUGAUGAGAAGCUCCUAAAACAAGCUUUGUGUAGCUGUUUGCAGCUGUUUACCCAGCUGUCUCCAGCGAUUACACCAACCUUAUGAGGUGGUUGGCAUCUGAUGUAGAUUGAAGCCACCUUGCAACAACCCUCAUUUACCCUGGUAACACCACAGGCUGGUGGAUGAUUGAGUGGGCCCAAAAGUAGUGUGGCAGUGCUGCUUGAGAAUUAGUACUCCUUUGUUACUGCUUGCAAUGUGGUUACACUGGGUGUUAGUGCAUUGGUGAUACUUGCUGGAGAACUACUUUGAGGACAGGAUUUGGUACUAGGGCUGUGGACAUUUUGUGUUACAUUUCACAUAAGACACACAGUUGUUAAAGUCAUCUGCUGCUCAUCUUCUCUACUGCCACAGCUACCUGGUGGGCACAAGGCAGGCUUGAAUGAUUCAGAACAGCUGCCAUUUGGAGAGCGCACUCAGAACUGCUUGGAAAUAGCACUGGGAGGAGAGAGUUCUGUGCAGCAGCGAGACAUUCGGGAUGUCCAGGUGGGUGUGUUUUGGAGUGCUGUCUGCCUGUGCAGCCACCUGAAGGUCAAGCAAUGAUUCAGAAAGGUACUAUGAAAUAGUAUUUUAUUCCAAAUUCAGCAUUGCCACCUAAAACCAAAAAUAUUAAUAGUGGUGGGAAAAAAGUCUAAAU